CGGGGCAGAGGAGACAGGUGGUGCAUGGUUGUCGUCAGCUCGUGUCGUGAGAUGUUGGGUUAAGUCCCGCAACGAGCGCAACCCCUAUCCUUAGUAGCCAGCACAUCAUGGUGGGCACUCUAGGGAGACUGCCGGGGAUAACCCGGAGGAAGGCGGGGACGACGUCAAAUCAUCAUGCCCCUUAUGAUUUGGGCUACACACGCGCUACAAUGGCGUAAACAAAGGGAAGCGAGACAGCGAUGUUUAGCAAAUCCCAAAAAUAACGUCCCAGUUCGGACUGCAGUCUGCAACUCGACUGCACGAAGCUGGAAUCGCUAGUAAUCGCGAAUCAGAAUGUCGCGGUGAAUACGUUCCCGGGUCUUGUACACACCGCCCGUCACACCAUGGGAGUCAGUAACGCCCGAAGUCAGUGACCCAACCUUAACGGAGGGAGCUGCCGAAGGCGGGACCGAUAACUGGGGUGAAGUCGUAACAAGGUAGCCGUAUCGGAAGGUGCGGCUGGAUCACCUC
rnacentral:rRNA from 1 species